UACGAAGGGGGCUAGCGUUGUUCGGAAUCACUGGGCGUAAAGCGCACGUAGGCGGAUUGUUAAGUCGGGGGUGAAAUCCUGAGGCUCAACCGCAGGGCUGCCUUCUAAACUGUCGAGCUUGAGCACGGUAGAGGCAGAUGGAAUUCCCGGUGUAGCGGUGGAAUGCGUAGAGAUCGGGAAGAACAUCAGUGGCGAAGGCGGUCUGCUGGGCCGUUGCUGACGCUGAGGCGCGACAGCGUGGGGAGCAAACAGG
rnacentral:rRNA from 1 species